CGUCUGAUUAGCUAGUUGGUGGGGUAAAGGCCUACCAAGGCGACGAUCAGUAGCCGGCCUGAGAGGGUGAACGGCCACACUGGGACUGAGACACGGCCCAGACUCCUACGGGAGGCAGCAGUGGGGAAUCUUCCGCAAUGGACGAAAGUCUGACGGAGCAACGCCGCGUGUAUGAUGAAGGUCUUCGGAUUGUAAAGUACUGUCUUUGGGGAAGAAUGACUGGCUUGAAAAUAUUGAGUCAGUAUGUGACGGUACCCAAGGAGGAA
rnacentral:rRNA from 1 species